AUUGAACGCUGGCGGCAUGCUUUACACAUGCAAGUCGAACGGUAACAGGGUGCUUGCACCGCUGACGAGUGGCGAACGGGUGAGUAAUACAUCGGAAUGUACCCAGUAAUGGGGAUAACGCUUCGAAAGGAGUGCUAAUACCGCAUACGCCCUGAGGGGGAAAGUGGGGGACCGCAAGGCCUCACGUUAUUGGAGCAGCCGAUGGCUGAUUAGCUAGUUGGUGAGGUAAAAGGCUCACCAAGGCGACGAUCAGUAGCGGGUCUUAGAGGACGAUCUGCCACACUGGAACUGAGACACGGUCCAGACUCCUACGGGAGGCAGCAGUGGGGAAUCUUGGACAAUGGGCGAAAGCCUGAUCCAGCAAUGCCGCGUGCGUGAAGAAGGUCUUCGGAUUGUAAAGCACUUUAAGUUGGGAGGAAGGGUAGUAACCUAAUAC
rnacentral:rRNA from 1 species